rnacentral:sRNA from 2 species
CCACUUUUUGCCUGUCCUUUGGUCUGCUCUCAUAAUCAAGGAUCCAGAUCUGCUAAUCCUGCUGGUGCUGGCAGCCGGUCAAGUUCCCCAGGAAAAUUGUUGGGAAGUGGUUAUGGUGGACUUACUGGGGGCUCCUCACGAGGCCCACCUGUGACACCGUCUUCAGAAAAGCGAAGCAAGAUUCCCAGGAGCCAGGGAUGUAGCCGGGAAACAAGUCCAAACCGAAUAGGAUUAGAUCGGUUUGGGCUUGGCCAGCCAGGAAGAAUACCUGGUUCUGUGAAUGCCAUGAGAGUUCUGAGCACAAGUACAGAUCUUGAAGCUGCUGUUGCCGAUGCUUUGAAGAAGCCUGUGAGGAGGAGAUAUGAGCCGUAUGGGAUGUAUUCUGACGAUGAUGCCAACAGUGAUGCCUCAAGUGUUUGCUCUGAGCGCUCAUAUGGCUCCAGGAAUGGUGGCAUUCCCCAUUAUCUGCGGCAGACUGAGGAUGUAGCAGAAGUUCUCAACCACUGUGCUAGUUCAAACUGGUCAGAAAGGAAAGA